rnacentral:lncRNA from 1 species
GCAGGAUGGGCUGGUCAGUGGGAUAGCCUCUGUGCACAUUUUGUGGCAAGUAGGAGUGACACAUCAUUCCUGGGAGGCCCCGUGGUUCCUGCCAAACCCAACCCCAGAAUUCUCCCUGAGGUGGUUUUACCAAACCCAUAACCCAGAACUGCUAUUGUGGUUUGGGGGUCAGCACCCACCAGUGCCAGGGCACUACUGGGAGGCUGGGACCUGACCAAAGCCCAUGGUGUCUGUGGCCUGAGGACAGGGUGUCUUGGGGCCAUGAGGACAGGCCACCAAUGGCCGUUGGGUCAUAGGGCCUGAGCCCCAGUGUUUGUCCUUCCCUGGCUCCUUCUGGUUCAGUCCCAUCAGGGCUCUGGAUCCCAAGACGCAGCAUCCAAGGUUCCCUCCAGGAAUCCUGGUGGCUCGGCUUACUUUGUCAUGUUUCAUCUGAUAGCAAAAAUAUCAGAUCGGCUGCACAGAAAAAUGGCUCAAAGUGCUUAAUGACCAGAAGAAAUCUGGGAGUAGCAAGAAGGUAAUGUGGAGAGGGGAGGACCUCCAUGACUGGUGUCUGCAGAGCCAGGGGUACAGGGACCCAGUGCAGUGACCUGGCACCACCUGCCUCUCAGAGGGUGGGUAGCACACUGUCCUUACCUGGGGGACAGCAGGCCUGGUCACCGGCUUUUCUCCCUGUCCCUGCAAGCAUCACAUUGCUGGAAGAGAAUCUCAUGCCAGAGCUUGGACCAUCCCUAGCUUGGGGGUUAGGGGUUGUCUCUUGGUGACCUAAAUGAAAAAAUAGGUCCAGAUCAGAGUUCGUGAUGCAUAGCACUCACCCACUCUUUGAAUCAUGGGAGGGGAGGCCUAGUCCUAGGUAAACCUAAACUCUUUGAGGAACCACAGAGCCCAAGGCUGGAAACCUCCAGAAUCCUCCAGCCCCUGAUCCCCCCCCCCCCCGGGGACCUCUGUGGCCUGUCUCACCAGAGCACUCUUCUGUCUGUAGAGGUCUCAGGUGCUCUACAAGGGAGUCCCAUUUCAGGUGUGGGGCUGGGUAUGGUCACUCCUGCUGGAUGUCUAGAAGGUGAAAACCAAGGACCUAGGAAAAUACCAGAUACAGCCUUUCCACCGUCAUCCAGAGCAGGACAAACACGCCAGGUGGUGUCAGGAGCCCAGGUCUCCAGCUGGAGGGAAUGUCAACCCUGCAGUGGGAGCCCAUCAUGCAUCCUAGGCACAGAUGCUAACGUAGGCACCGCAGUGCUUCCAGGGUUUCAUAUGUGUUAUGGAGAUGCUUCCUCUCUCCAACCUCACCGUGCAGGAAUCCCAGUGAAUAUAUUGCCACCAUCUUGGAGCUCAGUGCCCUCAUAGUGUAACAGCACCAGCAGAUCUGCCUGUGCACAGACUUCCUGUACUACCUCACUCCUGAGGGGAGAUGCUUCUGCAGGGCCUGCGACCUGGUGCACAACUUUAGACACCAUCAUCCUGGAGCGGCACUGCACCCUCACUAGCCAGGGUGUUGAUGACUUCCUCAAUGCCAAGGCCACGUUCAAGAUUUUCGACUUCAGUGAUGCGUUUGUGCUGAGCAAGGUGGGCUUCUCCGGGAUCUUAAUUCAGGAGGUAGAAUGCAGCUUGAGAUCUAGUGUCUGAUCAAAGAACUUGAACUUGACCUGGAGGGCUCUGGGGAGCCAUGGAAGGUGCUGGAUAAAGGAAGGGACAGUCAUAUAUAUUUUAGAGAUGACUGUGGAAGGCUGCCUGGAAGGAGUGAACAAGAGCCAGGAGACCAGGGAGGGAGUUUGUGGGGCAGGUCUGCAGAUGGCAAGGGAGGGAUCCUGCUUGGAUGAAAGGUCUUCAGGGACUGUCUCAGGUUACACUCAGGUGCCCUCAGAGCUACUGUGUUCAGGGUUCUUGUCUCCAGGAUGAAAAUAAGGAGGAGUUGUCAGACAAGGACAUAUACAUGGAGGCUGGCAUCUUCAUGAGUGCCAAUCGUGGUCCUGGUGUGGACUACUGUGGGAGCAGGGGUCUCUCCAUCCAGGGACAUGGUGGAUGGACCCUACAUCACUCCAUUCUGCCCUUCCUUUCCCUCCCAUUCUCCUGAGGGACUCAAUGCAUGGGCACUGUCCAACCUCUGGUGCUGAAGCAGCCAAGAGACCCAAGCCUGCCUUGCUGCCACUUAGGAUAUGACAGCACAGCCAGUGGCCUCUACUGGAUCCUGGUACCCCUCAGAAGACACCCAGACACUGGGAGUGCUGCCACCUCGUGGUGCAAGAGUUCUGAGGGACGGCAAUUCUGAAGACAUUGAAUGCCGUUUUGCACACCCUGGUCAGAAUGAAACAUUCCUUGGGAACUCGGGCCGUGAGAAGCAUCCUUCCUGAUCACCUGACUGUAGAAACAUCCUUAUCGCACCCUCCCGGGCAAAGGCCCAACAGCCUGACUGCAGGAACAUCCUUGCCAUAUCCUGCCGGGCAGCAAGCUCUACCGCCCACACCCCUCCUUCCCAGUCCCAUGAUCACCCCAGCCUGUGAGAGGCAGUUGGUGCUGGCAGUAAGCUGGUUUCCUCCUCUGCAGGGUUUUGCUAGUAAUAAAGGUGUUGCUGUUGAAGCCGUC